CCCUCUGGUGACAGCGGAGG
rnacentral:rRNA from 1 species